CAGCCGCCGCGGUAAUACGAAGGGGGCUAGCGUUGCUCGGAAUUACUGGGCGUAAAGGGAGCGUAGGCGGAUCGUUUAGUCAGGGGUGAAAUCCCGGGGCUCAACCUCGGAACUGCCUUUGAUACUGGCGAUCUUGAGUAUGGGAGAGGUGUGUGGAACUCCGAGUGUAGAGGUGAAAUUCGUAGAUAUUCGGAAGAACACCAGUGGCGAAGGCGACACACUGGCCCAUUACUGACGCUGAGGCUCGAAAGCGUGGGGAGCAAACAGGAUUAGAUACCCGCGUAGUCCCUGUCUCUUAUAC
rnacentral:rRNA from 1 species